GACGAACGCUGGCGGCGUGCCUAAUACAUGCAAGUAGAACGCUGAAGGAGGAGCUUGCUCUUCUGGAUGAGUUGCGAACGGGUGAGUAACGCGUAGGUAACCUGCCUGGUAGCGGGGGAUAACUAUUGGAAACGAUAGCUAAUACCGCAUAUCAGUAGAUGUUGCAUGACAUUUACUUAAAAGGUGCAAUUGCAUCACUACCAGAUGGACCUGCGUUGUAUUAGCUAGUUGGUGGGGUAACGGCUCACCAAGGCGACGAUACAUAGCCGACCUGAGAGGGUGAUCGGCCACACUGGGACUGAGACACGGCCCAGACUCCUACGGGAGGCAGCAGUAGGGAAUCUUUGGCAAUGGACGGAAGUCUGACCGAGCAACGCCGCGUGAGUGAAGAAGGUUUUCGGAUCGUAAAGCUCUGUUGUAAGAGAAGAACGAGUGUGAGAGUGGAAAGUUCACACUGUGACGGUAUCUUACCAGAAAGGGACGGCUAACUACGUG
rnacentral:rRNA from 1 species